CACGUAGGGUGCGAGCGUUGUCCGGAAUUAUUGGGCGUAAAGAGCUCGUAGGCGGUUUGUCGCGUCUGGUGUGAAAAUCCAGGGCUUAACCCUGGACCUGCAUCGGGUACGGGCAGACUAGAGUGCGGUAGGGGAGAUCGGAAUUCCUGGUGUAGCGGUGAAAUGCGCAGAUAUCAGGAGGAACACCGGUGGCGAAGGCGGUUCUCUGGGCAUUACCUGACGCUGAGGAGCGAAAGUGUGGGGAGCGAACAGG
rnacentral:rRNA from 1 species